rnacentral:misc_RNA from 1 species
GUGAAUUUUAGGGUGCUCUACUUCGCGUAGAGGCCUGACCUCCACUCUCCAACACUGUGCACUAUUCGGCUUGAUUAGGAAAAUGAAAAGGGACUUUCGAGUUCUUUUGAAAAUGAAUAAUCAGGCGGCUUCAUUUUAAACACUAGUUAAAGAAUGUAACCAAAAACAAAACUAAA